AAUCAACGCUGGCGGCGUGCCUCAGACAUGCAAGUCGAACGAUUAAAGCUCUCUUCGGAGAGUGCAUAAAGUGGCGCACGGGUGAGUAACACGUAAGUAAUCUGCCCUCGAGUGGGGAAUAACGUCCGGAAACGGACGCUAAUACCGCAUAACGCAGCGGCACCGCAAGGUGACAGUUGUUAAAGGAGCAAUCCGCUUGAGGAGGAGCUUGCGGCAGAUUAGCUUGUUGGUAGGGUAACGGCCUACCAAGGCUACGAUCUGUAACCGGUCUAAGAGGACGGUCGGUCACACUGACACUGAAUAACGGGUCAGACUCCUACGGGAGGCAGCAGUCGGGAAUUUUGGGCAAUGGGGGAAACCCUGACCCAGCAACGCCGCGUGAAGGAUGAAGUAUUUCGGUAUGUAAACUUCGAAAGAAUAGGAAGAAUUAAUGACGGUACUAUUUAUAAGGUCCGGCUAACUACGUGCCAGCAGCCGCCGUAAAAC
rnacentral:rRNA from 1 species